CCCCUGUCCCCUCGGCCCGGAGACCAGUAUCGGCUUCGGAACCUUCGGAGCAGCAAUAGGAAUGUGAUGACCAGCAGGUCAAAGAUGAGCUCGGCCAUCUCCACCACAGACAGCACUGAGGAGCCGAACCACAGGCUCCACUGGCUGCCCAGGUUGGACAGGAGGGUGACCAUCUGUGAGAGAAGAGGUCAGACAGGAACCAGGAGGCCACGACUGGAAAGUCCAGGCAGAAGAGAACUGCGGAGCCAGCCCAGGGAAGGACAGAAGUGGAAAAGUCACCACAGACAGAAACAAGCUUCCUGGCACACAACUUCCCUGCCAAACAACUCAGCUGUAGUCAAAAGAGAUUUGUCUAGAUAAGGAGGAGAUUCCAAGGUGCUUCAAACUUUAUUGAUUGUGCCCUUGUUCAGGUAAAAAAAAAAAAAUCUUAAAUAAGCAGGUCCAAUACACGUAUUUGAUUUAUAAAUUACAUACCUCUACUCUUGAAUGGAGACAGUAUGUCCAUUCUAAAGCACAUAAGAUAGCAAAUGUGAAGGAACGAGACAGACCCAUGUAACUUCUAAUAUUUUCUUCCUGCGCCCCAGGGAAGUGUUGUGUAC